AUUGAACGCUGGCGGCAUGCCUUACACAUGCAAGUCGAACGGUAACAGGUCUUCGGAUGCUGACGAGUGGCGAACGGGUGAGUAAUACAUCGGAACGUGCCUAGUAGUGGGGGAUAACUACUCGAAAGAGUGGCUAAUACCGCAUGAGAUCUACGGAUGAAAGCAGGGGAUCGCAAGACCUUGUGCUACUAGAGCGGCCGAUGGCAGAUUAGGUAGUUGGUGGGAUAAAAGCUUACCAAGCCGACGAUCUGUAGCUGGUCUGAGAGGACGAUCAGGCACACUGGGACUGAGACACGGCCGAGACACGUACGGGAGGCAGCAGUGGGGAAUUUUGGACAAUGGGCGAAAGCAUGAUCCAGCAAUGCAGAGUGCAGGAUGAAGGCCUUCGGGUUGUAAACUGCUUUUGUACGGAACGAAAAGCCCCGGGUUAAUACCCUGGGGUCAUGACGGUACCGUAAGAAUAAGCACCGGCUAACUACGUGCCAGCCGCCGCCGUAA
rnacentral:rRNA from 1 species